AGACUCUCGCUGCCUUCUCACUCUUAACUAUCACUCUCACUGCAGCUUCUCCGCUGCUAUAAUACACUAUUUGUGCUUUUGACUUCCUCUCUCCUAGGGUUAGGGCUUUGGUGGAUUCGAAUCAUGGCGUCGGCAUCGUCCUCGGAUCCUGGGCUGAAACCGGAACUCGGUGUAGGAGGAGGAGGAGAGACCUCAGAGGCAGUGGUUGCAAACGAUCAGCUGUUGCUGUACAGAGGUCUGAAGAAGGCAAAGAAAGAGAGAGGUUGCACUGCCAAGGAACGCAUCAGUAAAAUGCCUCCCUGCACUGCCGGUAAACGGAGUUCCAUAUACCGUGGAGUUACCAGGCAUAGAUGGACUGGUCGAUACGAAGCUCAUCUUUGGGAUAAAAGUACGUGGAACCAAAAUCAGAACAAGAAAGGAAAGCAAGUUUAUUUGGGAGCAUAUGACGAUGAGGAGGCUGCUGCUAGAGCAUAUGACCUUGCUGCCUUAAAAUAUUGGGGCCCUGGGACACUGAUAAAUUUUCCUGUUACUGAUUAUACAAGGGAUCUUGAAGAAAUGCAGAAUGUUUCAAGGGAAGAAUACCUUGCAUCUCUUCGAAGAAAAAGCAGUGGUUUCUCUAGAGGAAUCUCUAAAUAUCGUGGGCUUACAAGUAGUCGAUGGGACUCAUCAUUUGGUCGUGGGGCUGCACCUGAAUACUUCAAUAGCAUUCAUUACGUUGCAGGUGAUGAUCCAGGAACUGAGAGUGAUUUUCUAAGUAAUUUUUGUAUUGAGAGAAAGAUAGAUCUUACAAGCUACAUUAAGUGGUGGGGGACCAAUAAAACUCGUCAAGCAGAUUGUUCGAGUAAGUCAUCAGAAGAAACAAAACAUGGAUGUGCAGAAGAUAUUGGUGGUGAACUCAAAACAUUGGACUGGGCAGUCCAGGCAACAGAACCGUAUGAAAUGCCACGUUUGGGUAUGUUCAUCAAGGGGAAAACCCCCAAAGGAUCAACAGUCUCUGCCUUGAGCAUCUUGUCUCAGUCAGCUGCCUAUAAGAGCUUGCAAGAAAAAGCAUUGAAAAAGGAAAAAAAAGACUCUGAUAAAGAAGAUAAUGAAAACAAAAAUACCAUUAAUAGGCCGGACUAUGGUAAGGCAGUUGAGAAAUCAGUAAGUCAUGAAGGUGGGAAUGAGAGUCUUGGAGCUGCACUAGGAAUGGGUGGAGGAUUGCCCCUUCAGAGAAAUAUGUAUCCGUUGGCUCCUAUCUUGUCUGCUCCACUUGUAACCAGCUAUAAUACCAUUGAUCCGCUGGCAGACCCCAUUUUGUGGACAUCUCUUGUUCCAAUUCUUCCUACUGGAUCAUCUCGUAACCCAGAGGAUUUCGUGGUUCAGGAGGAAAAUUAACUCUUCAAUAAAAUUAUCAAUCAACAAUACUUCUGUUCAUUCUUUGGAAAAACUUUCAUCAAGGCCACAUAGGUGACAAAGACAGAGACCAGUUCAACAUAUACAUUCUUCCAGCCAGAGGAAUGAUUUUUGGCAAAAGUUGCGCAGUUUACCUGACUGAUAAAGGUUAGGGUUUUGGCAUUUACUUAACUAUUUAUUUAUCUGAAGGAAAAGUAUAUCAACUAGUCUGCCAGUAGAAUCUUGCCUUUAUCUGUUGGCAUUCCAGAGAUGUCUACUAGGUCUCAUUACUUGUCUAUUUCUUCUUCUUUUUUUUUUUUUUUUUUUUUUAAUAAAAAAUUUAUUUUACAGGAUAAUAUAGCUUUUAUUUUCAUGAAUAUAUCUUAUGUACAGAGUAACAACAGCA